GUGGGGAAUUUUGGACAAUGGGCGAAAGCCUGAUCCAGCCAUGCCGCGUGCAGGAUGAAGGCCUUCGGGUUGUAAACUGCUUUUGUACGGAACGAAAAGACUCCUUCUAAUAAAGGGGGUCCAUGACGGUACCGUAAGAAUAAGCACCGGCUAACUACGUGCCAGCAGCCGCGGUAAUACGUAGGGUGCAAGCGUUAAUCGGAAUUACUGGGCGUAAAGCGUGCACAGGCGGUUAUAUAAGACAGAUGUGAAAUCCCCGGGCUCAACCUGGGAACUGCAUUUGUGACUGUAUAGCUAGAGUACGGUAGAGGGGGAUGGAAUUCCGCGUGUAGCAGUGAAAUGCGUAGAUAUGCGGAGGAACACCGAUGGCGAAGGCAAUCCCCUGGGCCUGCACUGACGCUCAUGCACGAAAGCGUGGGGAGCAAACAGGAUUAGAUACCCGGGUAGUCC
rnacentral:rRNA from 1 species